UUACGGCCAUAUCACGUUGUAACACCGGUUCCUGUACGAUCACCGAAGUUAAGCAACGUUGAAUCUGGUCAGUACCUAGAUAGAUGACCGCUUGGAAUACAAGGUGCUGUAU
rnacentral:rRNA from 1 species